rnacentral:rRNA from 3 species
UACCAGCACCCCGAGUGGUCGGGACGAUUAUUGGGCCUAAAGCAUCCGUAGCCGGUUCUACAAGUCUUCCGUUAAAUCCAUCUGCUUAACAGAUGGGCUGCGGAGGAUACUAUGGAGCUAGGAGGCGGGAGAGGCAAGCGGUACUUAGUGGGUAGGGGUAAAAUCCGUUGAUCCACUGAAGACCACCAGUGGCGAAGGCGGCUUGCCAGAACGCGCUCGACGGUGAGGGAUGAAAGCUGGGGGAGCAAACCGG